ensembl:lncRNA
UCUGCCUCUCUGCCAACUGCCAAACAUCAUCCAUCCAAGGGAAGGGGAGGGGGGAUGCGUGUUCCAAGCAGCGCAUUUAGCAGUAUUUAACUUUGUCUACAAUCAUGGCUGGAUGUAGGCACGAGGCAUCGCUCAGAGCAGUCAAAAAUAGGAGACGCUUAAGAGAUGUGAACUUCUCUCAUUGCACCUAACUCAAGAGCGAAGACACCGAGGGACCCCGAAGGCUGCUGGCUGUGCAGACUGGUCUCUGUGUCAGAGAGGCAAACACGCUGAUGAAGAAGCAUUUGAGGAAGGCAAACAAACCAGCUAUAACAAGACCAG